CGGAGGUUCGAGCCCCGCUUUCACAAAAAGCCAGGUAGAAGUUCUGGACCUAAAAGCAUAAAUUAAAACUUCAAAAAUCUGAUAAAGAAAACGGAAGCAUAAUUGGCACCUAUAUAUACAAGUCUCGAGGUGACGACAUGGAACACCGAAUCAAGUAUCAAGAAGACUACGGUUGGCACCAUAACCCACGUACGCUUCUUUGGUGUUCAGGAAGAGUCUGGCGGCGAGGCACGGGAGCAAACGGCGACAAUUAUAACAAAAUCACUUGAAGAAAAACCACAGCUACCCUCCACGAGACCGAAACGUGCUCGUUGUGUUGGACCAGUCGAAGCUUCUCGCCCUCAAGGAAUCGUGGCAAGGUUCGGAAAGUUCAGUGAUCGCGAGGCAGUUGAAAGAAUCUGGAAUAUUCAUCGACGAAGACCUGUGUCCAGCAUCGCAGGCAAUAAAUAAAAAUCAACUACCUCAGCUGAAACAAGCGAGAUUGGAUGGAAUAAUCUCCUUUUUCAAGUACACUAAGCUCAUCAUAAGAGAGAGAAGUGCUCAACAACCCAGCAACCCUGACACAAACCACCCGUGGUGGCGCUGGUGAUGCAGCUUCACCUGGGGCUGCUGGAGGUGCGACGUUCAGUGGUGUGCAGGCCAGCAGUGUUGGUGCUGGCUCCUCCUCCGGAUCACCGAGAGCGGGGGUGCUGGUGAACCCGAGGCCGGGCCAGCUGACGGCGCAGUUACUACUCGUCUGGGAGCCGCCAGUGGUGCCGCACAGGGGAAUGAGACUCCUGAUGGUACGCAAGGGCUGAGCAGUGGGCGGACAAGGUCAAGCGAGGCAGAUCACUCCCAACGUCAACAGAAAAAAGAACUACACGACCGUAAGAAGAACUAGAUCCCCUAGAGGGAGGCAGUGACUGAGUGGUCAACAUGCAGGCAGACCCGUCCUGGAGGACUCCGGAUCAAGCUGACAAUUUUCAGUCGUAGCCGAGUGGUCUAAGACUACCCACAUGGUGUCCAGAAGACCACCUAACAGCCAGGACUGUAGGUUGAGGGGGGCAGUUGGUCAUGAAAUGGUGAAAAACGUGAUUUCUGGAAAAAAUUCAGCCACCCUUGUAUUGCCUUUGAGAAUGUAAAUACGAAGUAUUUCAUCAAAAUUCGUAAUAGUUUCACUUUUAAGGGCGUGUAAUGGACCCCACUGCCUCAAGUGUGACCUCAUGAUGCAUAUCGGUCAUUGUGUAUUGCCAUUAUUUCCGAGAACCUACAUAGAAUAACAGUAAUAAAAGUGAUAUCUAGCA